rnacentral:rRNA from 1 species
UGGGGAAUAUUGGACAAUGGGCGCAAGCCUGAUCCAGCCAUGCCGCGUGAGUGAUGAAGGCCUUAGGGUUGUAAAGCUCUUUUGUCCGGGAAGAUAAUGACUGUACCGGAAGAAUAAGCCCCGGCUAACUUCGUGCCAGCAGCCGCGGUAAUACGAAGGGGGCUAGCGUUGCUCGGAAUCACUGGGCGUAAAGGGCGCGUAGGCGGAUACUUAAGUCAGGGGUGAAAGCCUGAGGCUCAACCUCAGAAUUGCCUUUGAUACUGAGUAUCUCGAGACCGGAAGAGGUAAGUGGAACUGCGAGUGUAGAGGUGAAAUUCGUAGAUAUUCGCAAGAACACCAGUGGCGAAGGCGGCUUACUGGUCCGGUUCUGACGCUGAGGCGCGAAAGCGUGGGGAGCAAACAGG